rnacentral:rRNA from 1 species
UCAGGCCUAACACAUGCAAGUCGAACGGUAACGCGGGGCAACCUGGCGACGAGUGGCGAACGGGUGAGUAAUGUAUCGGAACGUGCCCAGUAGUGGGGGAUAGCCCGGCGAAAGCCGGAUUAAUACCGCAUGAGACCUAAGGGUGAAAGCGGGGGAUCGUAAGGCCUCGCGCUAUUGGGGCGGCCGAUAUCAGAUUAGGUAGUUGGUGGGGUAAAAGCCUACCAAGCCGACGAUCUGUAGCUGGUCUGAGAGGACGACCAGCCACACUGGGACUGAGACACGGCCCAGACUCCUACGGGAGGCAGCAGUGGGGAAUUUUGGACAAUGGGCGCAAGCCUGAUCCAGCCAUGCCGCGUGCGGGAAGAAGGCCUUCGGGUUGUAAACCGCUUUUGUCAGGGAAGAAAUCUUCUGGGC